CCCUGGCUCAGGAUGAACGCUAGCGGCAGGCUUAACACAUGCAAGUCGAGGGGUAUAGUUCUUCGGAAUUAGAGACCGGCGCACGGGUGCGUAACGCGUAUGCAAUCUACCUUUUACAGAGGGAUAGCCCAGAGAAAUUUGGAUUAAUACCUCAUAGUAUAAUGACUUGGCAUCAAGACAUUAUUAAAGUCACAACGGUAAAAGAUGAGCAUGCGUCCCAUUAGCUAGUUGGUAAGGUAACGGCUUACCAAGGCUACGAUGGGUAGGGGUCCUGAGAGGGAGAUCCCCCACACUGGUACUGAGACACGGACCAGACUCCUACGGGAGGCAGCAGUGAGGAAUAUUGGACAAUGGGCGCAAGCCUGAUCCAGCCAUGCCGCGUGCAGGAUGACGGUCCUAUGGAUUGUAAACUGCUUUUAUACGAGAAGAAACACUACUUCGUGAAGUAGCUUGACGGUAUCGUAAGAAUAAGGAUCGGCUAA
rnacentral:rRNA from 1 species